UAUAAUAUUAUUAUUGUUAUAAGUAGUAAUUAUUAUCUCACAGGUAUGCUAACUUGGCGACUGCACAGCUUUUAUUGUAUACAAAUAUACACUAUAGCAUAUACCUACUAAUAUAUUCUAUGAUGACGUGUAUUAUGCURCUAACCGUGGUAUUAGCGUACAUAAUUAUCACGAGAACAUGCUCGGUUCAAUUAUAAUAUCAAAAUUAUUUAUUUUUCACUUCUGUGCUGUCCUGCGUAUCGUGUCUCGUACAUAGGUGAUCGUCUUAGAUCUUAUCUAAUAUGGUCUAAGGUGAUCGUCAUUCGUCAACAUAUCAUCAUAAUACCUGACGCAUUAUAAUGUAUUAUUAAUUCAAUAACUUCGUGCUGGGUAUUCGAACCGGUUUGUACGAUACUAUAAAAUUAUUGUAAUAACUACAGUACGUGUCGGUCACCACAAACUGACCUCCGGACCCACCAGCCGGCAAACCUGUUGUCUCCGUGUCGGAGACCAGUGCCGACGUAACGUGGUCCAGUCCGGCGUACGACGGCGGGUGCAUGGUCACCGGUUACGGCGUGGAAGUCCGACCGUUCAAUCAGUCCGAUUGGAAAUUAGUGGCCGACAAGUGUCACUCGUUAUCUCACAUUGUCCGGGGUCUGGCACCAGGUGAGUCGUACGUGUUCAGAGUCCGAGCGGAGAACAUGCACGGAUCGAGCGAAGCGAGCUUAGAAUCCACGCCUGUUUACAUACUGCA